rnacentral:tRNA from 1 species
GCCUGGGUGGCACAGGCCAACAAUGCCCUGUUCGGCGCCCAGGCCGCCUACGACCAAUGGGUGCCGGCGUUCGAGGCGCUGUUUGCGCGC